rnacentral:rRNA from 1 species
AAACUUAAAGGAAUUGACGGGGACCCGCACAAGCAGCGGAGCGUGUUGGUUUAAUUCGUUGCUACACGAAGAACCUUUACCUGGGUUUUGACAUAUAAGUUGUAGGGAACUGAAAAGGGACCGACCCUUCGGGGAGCUUAUACAGGUGUUGCAUGGCUGUCGUCAGCUCGUGUCGUGAGAUGUUCGGUUAAGUCCGCUAACGAGCGCAACCCUCGCCGUAUGUUACAAGUGUCAUACGGGACUGCCGGUAAAAAGCCGGAGGAAGGUGAGGAUGAUGUCAAGUCAGCAUGACCUUUAUAUCCAGGGCUACACACACGCUACAAUGGUCUGUACAAUUGGUUGCCAAGCCGCGAGGCGGAGCCAAUCCGUAAAGCAGGCCUCAGUUCAGAUUGCAGUCUGCAACUCGACUGCAUGAAGCCGGAGUUGCUAGUAACCGCAGGUCAGCAAUACUGCGGUGAAUACGUUCCCGGGUCUU